rnacentral:rRNA from 1 species
UACGGAGGGGGCUAGCGUUGUUCGGAAUUACUGGGCGUAAAGCGCGCGUAGGCGGACCUGCAAGUCGGGGGUGAAAGCCCAAGGCUCAACCUUGGAACUGCCUUUGAUACUGGAGACCUUGAGUCCGGGAGAGGUGAGUGGAAUUGCGAGUGUAGAGGUGAAAUUCGUAGAUAUUCGCAAGAACACCAGUGGCGAAGGCGGCUCACUGGCCCGGAACUGACGCUGAGACGCGAAAGCGUGGGGAGCAAACAGG